AGAGUUUGAUCAUGGCUCAGAAUCAACGCUGGCGGCGUGCCUAACACAUGCAAGUCGCACGAGAAAGUGGAGCAAUCCAUGAGUAAAGUGGCGCACGGGUGAGUAACACGUGACUAACCUACCUUCGAGUGGGGAAUAACUUCGGGAAACCGAGGCUAAUACCGCAUAACACCUACGGGUCAAAGGAGCAAUCCGCUUGAGGAGGGGGUCGCGGCCGAUUAGUUAGUUGGCAGGGUAAUGGCCUACCAAGACGAUGAUCGGUAUCCGGCCUGAGAGGGCGCACGGACACACUGGAACUGAAACACGGUCCAGACUCCUACGGGAGGCAGCAGUGGGGAAUUUUGCGCAAUGGGGGAAACCCUGACGCAGCAACGCCGCGUGGAGGAUGAAGUCCUUCGGGACGUAAACUCCUUUCGAUCGGGACGAUUAUGACGGUACCGGAAGAAGAAGCCCCGGCUAACUUCGUGCCAGCAGCCGCGGUAAUACGAGGGGGGCCGAGCCGUUGUUCGAAUUUAUUGGGCGUAAAGGGUGCGUAGGCGGUUCGGUAAGUCUCGUGUGAAAUCUCCAGGCUCAACUUGGAGUCUGCACGAAAAACUGCAGGCUUGGAUUGUGGGA
rnacentral:rRNA from 1 species